UACGAAGGGUGCAAGCGUUAAUCGGAAUUACUGGGCGUAAAGGGUGCGUAGGCGGCUCGUUAAGUCUGGCGUGAAAUCCCCGGGCUCAACCCGAGAAUGGCGAUGGAUACUGGCGAGCUAGAGUGUGGCAGAGGAUGGUGGAAUUCCCGGUGUAGCGGUGAAAUGCGUAGAGAUCGGGAGGAACAUCAGUGGCGAAGGCGGCCAACUGGGACAACACUGACGCUGAAGCACGAAAGCGUGGGGAGCAAACAGG
rnacentral:rRNA from 1 species